GCCGGUGUAGCUCAGUUGGUAGAGCGGUUCAUUCGUAAUGAAAAGGUCGGGGGUUCGAUUCCUCUCUCCGGCACCA
rnacentral:tRNA from 1 species